rnacentral:misc_RNA from 1 species
AAGUUUCAAACUUGAUCCCCAAAUCCAAUCACACACACAACAAAGCCAUCAGAUCAAACAUAUAAACAACAUGAAACUUCAAGAACUUCCAAACAAUUUCAUUCCCUAUAAAGAACUCUCCCAAAGUUUCAAACUUGAUCCCGCAAUUAAACCACAAAAACAACUAGAAACAAAUACAUAAACAACAUGAAAAACUUCACGAAGCUCCUAACACUUUCACUCCCAAGAACUCUCCCAAAGUUUCAAACUUGAUCCCGCAAUUAAACCACAAAAACAACUAGAAACAAAUACAUAAACAACAUGAAAAACUUCACGAAGCUCCUAACACUUUCACUCCC